rnacentral:lncRNA from 1 species
UGGCGUGCACGCGUGGUGGUGCAGCUUGUUGGCUACUUGGCUACCGGCGGGCGCCGGGCGUAUGCGGAGACCGGUGGGAGUGGCGAGUGGAGUCGGGACUUUGGGAGGGUGUGGAUUCUUGGUGGGUGGGUGGGACCCACAUUUUUUCAUAGGGGCAAAAUCGUCUUUUCACAGGGUAUUUAACGGUGAUCAGAUGAAAAAUCUAAAAGAGUGUCGUAUAAGGAACCAAAGCUAUACCCGGUAUCAAAUAGGAAACGAAAAAAAUUUGAAGGUUAGGAAAGGAACGAGUAACUUUUUCUAGUGUAUAGGAAAUUAUCUCUUGUUUAUUUUUGUGCUGUUAGAUUCUUGCUCUUCGUUUCAUUCCCCGUGCGCUGUACCUCAACGUCAGCUUCACCUGCUCCAUGCUGACUUUGCAAUGGGUCAUGAUGCUAAUCAUCAUGCGCUUGAAAUAGAGCUCAUGUCAAUCGACGAUCUCAGCCGUUAUAUCUCCAUCCGAUGGACCGAUGCUCGUUAUUGUUCCGAUAUUGCGAGGAACCUCCAAAUUAAACCCAUUUAAUUAAUUGACCAACUCAAUUAAACUCAAUUAAAGGAGAAUAAUUCCGAUCGUUCUUAAGAUGUAUCAUGAGCAAUGCCCAGGAUUUAAACACCUCACAAGCACAAGUAUUUAACAUCAUCACAACAUAAGCAUAUCCAUACAUAGUUCAUCACAUUACAUAAAAUGGUUCAAGUUCACAUACAUAAGUUUAUAGAGUUUUGCAGCAGAAAGUUCUAUCAUUGCUCUCAUCAUACGCUACAACACAACACAAAAUAAGAAGGUUAACACUAUAUGCCGAUAGUGCCCUUCCUAUAGCCAUGGCCAUCACUUCUUACCCGCACCUCCGUCCGCGGGGUAGAAGUACCCAAAGAUAGCCUCCGGCUGCGGAUCACCUGCAACAACUUAACGGCGGCACCGUGAGUAAAAAAGGUACUUAGCAAGACUUAUCCAAAUAUGGCUAUAUACUUGCCCAACUCUCAAGAAGAAUACAUUUGGUUAAGUAGCAAGGAGUGGCAUAGGUGAUUAAUUUGCAUAAAAGCAUCUAAAUUUUGAUCAAGUUAUAAUAAGCAAAAUACAUAACAUUAUAUGAUCUCUAAGUCAAGCAUCAAAUAAUUGCAAUAAGUAAAUGUAAUCAUGAACAUGAGUUCAAUUUUUCAUGAACUCCAUUCGAUAACUCUACUAUGAAAGCGGGGUAUCAAGAGCUUGCUCAAUGACCGAGAGCGCAGCUAUUGCAAUAGAUUAUACCCAUGCAGGGGUGUACAACUUUUCCCACACGAGACGCAAGACCGACCAUACCCCAGUCGAGGAUAAGUGUUGAUUCAUACCCCCGACCAUUCGCAUACCCACACCCGACUAUGAGCGAACGGCCGAAAGUGUAUAGGUGCACCGGACACGGCCGAUCACACCUCAUCCCACUCCGCGCCGAAUCCGAUCAAGGCAAAGUGCGACUUAUGCUACUCGGCUUGCCAUUCCUAUAUUAAGCAUGUGGUUUGCAUGUAAAAAGUGCUCAAGAACUCAGCAACAAAGUCGUGGUACUUAAUCAACUCAAACAAGUCUAAGUCAAGUGAUGUCCAAUCUCAAUAUGACCCGACCAUACUUGCUCAAGUUCGAUUUUCAUCUUUAAUAGCUGCUCAAGUUUUAAUCCAUUCAUGGCUACUCAAGUAUUAAUUAAGCAAGCAACCUAUAACUCGCGAGUGGUGGUGACCUUGCCACCUCUCGACUUCUACUGAAGCUAAGCAUGUAUAAGCAAUUAAUUUCGUGACACCUACACAAGCAUACUUACCUAGAAGAGUUGUUCUAAUUCAAGGAUGGAUAAUGCAUUAAGUAGGAGCUAAGCAACAAAUACAUAAAUAGUAACUUAUGCGCAUAUAAGACACAUAUACAUCAUUGAUCCAAAAUAGGGUUAAAAGGAUGCUUAGUUGCCUGCCUUGGUUCACAAAGGAGGCAUUGUCGGCAACGGGCUCCAGCUCGAGCUCACCCACCUCUUGCUCCGACGUCUCGGUCUCUACACGAAUGAAAUGGUGCAUAAUUAACAACAAUGCUCGAAGAUGGUGCAAAUGAUGUAUGAGAUGCAUGGAAAAGAAGGUUCAAAGCAUAUAUUACGUGAUAGAACACUUAAAUCCUACACAAAAUAAGGAUAUAUUCACGUUUCCCCUCAAAGGCAGAAUUGUAAAUAACUCGUCAAGUUGCCGAAAAUGGUAUUGCCGAUGAUUCCGGCGACCGAUUGCAGUGGGGUUUGAUCUAAAGCUUCCUUAGAUGAUGGGAAUUCAGUUUAGAUGAUGGGAAUUCAGAUUAGAUGAUGGUGGACGCAGAAAAGGAGCAGCCUAGGGUUAAAGGCUUCGACACCACUCUCAUGCUGGUCUCCUGGACGAUAUGGAAGGAGCAGAACAACAGGACUUUUGCCAGGAGAUAGGAACAAUCGCCUCAACAACUCCUCGCCGUGAUACAGGAGGAAGUAGCAAACUGGUUUGCUGCAGGAGCACGAUGCCUGGCGAUGGCUGGCUGGAACUUCGGAGCAGAUGUUUCAUAGCACCUAGGUGAACAAUUUGGAGUUGCUAGCUGAUAGGUGGAGUGUAUGUUUAAUAAUGUAAUAAUUAUCAACUCAAAUCCGUGUACGUGCGCCCGGUGAAUGACCCGCGUGGUAACUAAACAUCUAUUUUUUCCUCUUAAUUGAAUGAUACACGGCUCUCCUGCGUAUUCUAGAAAAAAAGUCAUAGCAACGACAUGCACGGAGGUUUGGACGAAAUGCAAUAUCAAUGAAGUCAAGCUCCCGUGGAAGGUUAAUGAAGGAGCUUCCAAUGAAGAAGAGAGGAGGGGGAAAAUCAUAGGGGAGCCUCACUUAGGAUGGGGAAGGACGAUGCAGAAAGUUACAAGUUGGAGUAGAGCGGCGGUGAAGGAGAUCGGACCUUAACUUUGAUUCACGGGAGUUGGGAAGAAGAACGCGAAUAACAGCUGCAGCUUGAUCCUUGUCUUGGGGAGAUGGAGCGUGACGUGGGGGAGGAGGAGGAGCUCGUCCUCGGCCUGGCUAUGGGGCACGGCCAGGGGCGCCUGCUCCCAGGCGACGACAGAGCGGG